rnacentral:snRNA from 1 species
UUACUUACCUGGCAGGGGACACACCAUGAUCAGGAAGGUGGUUUCCCAGGGUGAGGCUCGUUCAUUGCACUGCCGGUGUGCUGGCCCUUGCGAUUUCCCCUAAUGCCGGAAACUUGACUGCAUAAUUUGUGGUAGUGGGGGACUGUGUUCGCGCUCUAA